GGAUAUUUCUCAGUGUGAAACUAGCCAGACUCAUAAGAACGGUCCCGUUAGCACAGUGGAUAAGAAUCUGCCUGCCAGGGCAGGGGAUAUGCAGGUUCAGUCCCUAGUCCGGGAGGAUUCCACAUGCUGAGGAGCAGCUAAGCCCGUAUGCCACAGCUGCUAAGCCCUAGAGCCUGUGCUCCACAGCGAGAACCCACUACAUGAGAAGCCAGCACGUCACAGCUAGAGAGUAGCCUCUGCUCUCCGCAACUAGAGAAAGUCUUUGUGCGGCAAUGAAGACCCAGCGUAGCCAAAAAUAAAUAUAUAAAUGAAUGGAGCAGUGCGAACAUGUAAAAACAAGAAUGGUCCCUUUAGUACUGUUCGAAACCACUGUGUCAGCCCAGCAAAGACUUAGAUGAACAUUCCUCAGUGUCAUGAUACUUGAGAUUUGCUUAAAAAAUAUUAGAAGUAGGUGACAGGGUAAACAAGGCUGACCAUAAAUUGAUAAUUAUUAAAGUUGGAUAAUGAGUACAUGGGGGUUCAUUAUAAAAUUGUAUUUUUAAUACAUUUGGAAUUUUCAAUAACAAAAAGGUUUUUUAAAGUGUUUAAAGAAGAUCAUUCAAGUAGAAGUCACAAAUCUUGGUUAUUAAUCUUGGUUAUUCAUCAGGUUUUUGAUCCUGAUUUGUUGACCAAAUUGAAGCAAGAAAUUUUAUGUGCUUCAGGGUUCAUCUAUAAUACAGAGUUCAUCCCUAAAAUCCAACAAUCUCUUCAAUUCUAAGUUGGUUUCUUACUUUGGUUCAGAGUGCUUUUAAAGAGGACUCAAAUAGGGGAUUUCGUGGCUGUGAUUAGGCAAUUUCACUGUCAAGGCCUGGGUUCAAUCUCUGGUUGGGGAACUAAGAUCCUACAAGUUGAGCGAUGAGGCCAAAAAAUAAAUAAAACAGACUAAAAUAGAGGCUCAAUUUUUAACCCUUUUGUGUUAAGAUAUAUUCCCAUCAUAUUUGUAGCCUUAAUUGUCUUCAAAUGAAUUCAGCAUUAAAAAGCCUAAGGAGGCCACAGUCUGAACUCUGAAAAUCAUUUAUUCCAGUCCCACCUACAAAUCAGCUAUCCUUGGGCUUGGAGUUGCCCUUCCUUAAGGGCAGACAGAGACAUCUUCAAACUUCGGAAGAAAUUCAGCAGUAGGAAUAGCUGUUUGCUCCUGGAUCUACCCACUCAGGAGAUUUUAAACUUAAAAAAAAUAAAAUUAAGAUCCAGUUCAUGAUUAAAGAACUAGAUUUUUUAAGAGAAAGCUUUUAGCAAAAUGAACGAGAGUGCCGCCUGCUGGGAACAGGAGAACUUCCUAAGGCGCAUACUGAAGAGUGAGUUUCCUGGGCCCCACCCUGUUUGAAUCACCCGAGAGCCACUGGUUAAAAUGGAAUGUUCCUAGGCUCUAGACCUGUUGUAUCAGAGUCCCUGAAGGUGGGGCUCAAAAUUUUAUACUUUAUACAAGAGACAAAUGCCUUAGUUCCCAAACUUGCCUGAUAAGAAUCAUCUGGGAAUGCUUGUUUAAAAUACUUUCACCUGAAUCACACUCCAGGCUUAUAGAAUCAGGACAUCCAAAAUAGGCCCUNNNNNNNNNNNNNNNNNNNNNNNNNNNNNNNNNNNNNNNNNNNNNNNNNNNNNNNNNNNNNNNNNNNNNNNNNNNNNNNNNNNNNNNNNNNNNNNNNNNUGAAUCACACUCCAGGCUUAUAGAAUCAGGACAUCCAAAAUAGGCCCUGAUAGGAAUCACCUGGGACGGGAGGGCGAGAGCAAUAGGUGAGGGAGAUUAGGCGGUACAAGCAUCCAGUUACAAAAUAAAUGAGUCAAGGGGGUGAAAUGCUCAGCGUGGAGAAUACAGUUGAUAAUAUUGUAAUAAUUUUGUAUGGUGACAGAUGGCAACUAGACUUAUCGUGGUGACGGUUUUGUGAUGUAUAGAAACAUUGAAUCACUAGAUUGUGAACUUAGGACUAAUGGAGUGUUGUUUCAGGUCAGUAUCAGUUCAGUUCAGUUCAGUUCAGUCGCUCAGUCGUGUCC
rnacentral:lncRNA from 1 species